CCUACGGGCGGCAGCAGUGGGGAAUAUUGCACAAUGGGCGCAAGCCUGAUGCAGCCAUGCCGCGUGUGUGAAGAAGGCCUUCGGGUUGUAAAGCACUUUCAGCGGGGAGGAAGGCGGUGAGGUUAAUAACCUCAUCGAUUGACAUUACCCGCAGAAGAAGCACCGGCUAACUCCGUGCCAGCAGCCGCGGUAAUACGGAGGGUGCAAGCGUUAAUCGGAAUUACUGGGCGUAAAGCGCACGCAGGCGGUCUGUCAAGUCGGAUGUGAAAUCCCCGGGCUCAACCUGGGAACUGCAUUCGAAACUGGCAGGCUAGAGUCUUGUAGAAGGGGGUAGAAUUCCAGGUGUAGCGGUGAAAUGCGUAGAGAUCUGGAGGAACACCGGUGGCGAAGGCGGCCCCCUGGACAAAGACUGACGCUCAGGUGCGAAAGCGUGGGGAGCAAACAGGAUUAGAUACCCGAGUAGUC
rnacentral:rRNA from 1 species